AGGAGUUCAGCCACUUGGACUGAGACCGGUCUAGACUCUACGAAGCAGCAAUGGGAUCUGGGCAUGGGCGAAGCUGACGCAGCAACGCCGCGUGCGGGAGAAGCUAGGCUGUAGUCGCUUCAGUAGAACGAAAUGACGUACUGCAGAGAAGUGCGCCACUACGUGCCAGCAGCCGCGUGACACGUAGGCACCAAGUGUGUCCGGAUUUAUUGGGCGUAAAGAGCUCGUAGGCGGUUGAGUAAGUCGGUGUGAAAACUCUGGGCUUAACCCAGAGCCGCCACUCGAUACUGCUCUGACUUGAGUUCGGUAGGGGAGCAGGGAAUUCCUAGUGUAGCGGUGAAAUGCGCAGAUAUUAGGAGGAACACCGGUGGCGAAGGCGCUGCUCUGGGCCGAAACUGACGCUGAGGAGCGAAAGCGUGGGUAGCAAACAGGAUUAGAUACCCUGGUAGUCCACGCCGUAAACGUUGGGCACUAGGUGUGGGUUCCAACCAACGGGAUCCGCGCCGUCGCUAACGCAUUAAGUGCCCCGCCUGGGGAGUACGGCGGCAACGCUAAAACUCAAAGGAAUUGACGGGGGCCCGCACAAGCAGCGGAGCGUGUUGCUUAAUUCGAUGCAACGCGAAGAACCUUACCUGGGUUUGACAUGCUAGGAAAAGCUGUAGAGAUAUGGUGUCCUUCGGGGCUUAGCACAGGUGGUGCAUGGCUGUCGUCAGCUCGUGUCGUGAGAUGUUGGGUUAAGUCCCGCAACGAGCGCAACCCUUAUUCUAUGUUGCCAGCACGUUAUGGUGGGGACUCGUAGGAGACUGCCGGGGUCAACUCGGAGGAAGGUGGGGACGACGUCAAGUCAUCAUGCCCCUUAUAUCCAGGGCUGCAAACACGCUACAAUGGCCGGUACAAAGGGCUGCGAGCCUGUGAGGGUGAGCGAAUCCCAUAAAGCCGGUCUCAGUUCGGAUUGUAGGCUGCAACUCGCCUGCAUGAAGCUGGAGUUGCUAGUAAUCCCGGAUCAGCACGCCGGGGUGAAUACGUUCCCGGGCCUUGUACACACCGCCCGUCACACCACGAAAGUCGGCAACACCCGAAGCCGGUGGCCUAACCCUUUUGGGGAGGAGCCGUCGAAGGUGCUCGUAGGGGA
rnacentral:rRNA from 1 species